AAUAGAUACCCAGGUAGUCCACGCCGUAAACGAUGAGUGCUAAGUGUUAGAGGGUUUCCGCCCUUUAGUGCUGCAGCUAACGCAUUAAGCACUCCGCCUGGGGAGUACGGUCGCAAGACUGAAACUCAAAGGAAUUGACGGGGGCCCGCACAAGCGGUGGAGCAUGUGGUUUAAUUCGAAGCAACGCGAAGAACCUUACCAGGUCUUGACAUCCUCUGACAACUCUAGAGAUAGAGCGUUCCCCUUCGGGGGACAGAGUGACAGGUGGUGCAUGGUUGUCGUCAGCUCGUGUCGUGAGAUGUUGGGUUAAGUCCCGCAACGAGCGCAACCCUUGAUCUUAGUUGCCAGCAUUCAGUUGGGCACUCUAAGGUGACUGCCGGUGACAAACCGGAGGAAGGUGGGGAUGACGUCAAAUCAUCAUGCCCCUUAUGACCUGGGCUACACACGUGCUACAAUGGAUGGUACAAAGGGCUGCAAGACCGCGAGGUCAAGCCAAUCCCAUAAAACCAUUCUCAGUUCGGAUUGGU
rnacentral:rRNA from 1 species